rnacentral:snRNA from 1 species
AUUAUGCAGAAUAUAUACUAAAAUUAGAAUGAAACAGAGAAAAUUGGCAUAGUCCCUGUGCAAGAAUGACACACACAUUUGUAAAGUGUUCCCUUUCCCA